UACGUAGGGUGCAAGCGUUAAUCGGAAUUACUGGGCGUAAAGCGUGCGCAGGCGGCUAUGCAAGACAGAUGUGAAAUCCCGGGGCUCAACCUGGGAACUGCAUUUGUGACUGCAUGGCUAGAGUACGGUAGAGGGGGAUGGAAUUCCGCGUGUAGCAGUGAAAUGCGUAGAUAUGCGGAGGAACACCGAUGGCGAAGGCAAUCCCCUGGACCUGUACUGACGCUCAUGCACGAAAGCGUGGGGAGCAAACAGG
rnacentral:rRNA from 1 species